GACGAACGCUGGCGGCGUGCCUAAUACAUGCAAGUUGAGCGCUGAAGGUUGGUACUUGUACCAACUGGAUGAGCAGCGAACGGGUGAGUAACGCGUGGGGAAUCUGCCUUUGAGCGGGGGACAACAUUUGGAAACGAAUGCUAAUACCGCAUAAAAACUUUAAACACAAGUUUUAAGUUCGAAAGAUGCAAUUGCAUCACUCAAAGAUGAUCCCGCGUUGUAUUAGCUAGUUGGUGAGGUAAAGGCUCACCAAGGCGAUGAUACAUAGCCGACCUGAGAGGGUGAUCGGCCACAUUGGGACUGAGACACGGCCCAAACUCCUACGGGAGGCAGCAGUAGGGAAUCUUCGGCAAUAGACGAAAGUCUGACCGAGCAACGCCGCGUGAGUGAAGAAGGUUUUCGGAUCGUAAAACUCUGUUGGUAGAGAAGAACGUUGGUGAGAGUGGAAAGCUCAUCAAGUGACGGUAACUACCCAGAAAGGGACGGCUAACUACGUG
rnacentral:rRNA from 1 species